rnacentral:rRNA from 1 species
CCUACGGGAGGCAGCAGUGGGGAAUAUUGCACAAUGGGGGAAACCCUGAUGCAGCGACGCCGCGUGAGCGAAGAAGUAUUUCGGUAUGUACAGCUCUAUCAGCAGGGAAGCAAAUGACGGUACCUGAGUAAGAAGCUCCGGCUAAAUACGUGCCAGCAUCCGCGGUAAUCCGUAUGGAGCAAGCGUUAUCCGGAUUUACUGGGCGUAAAGGGAGCGUAGGCGGCCUGCCAAGUCUGAUGUUAAAUACCGGGGCGCAACCCCGGGGCUGCAUUGGAAACUGGCAGGCUGGAGUGGCGGAGAGGCAGGCGGAAUUCCUAGUGUAGCGGUGAAAUGCGUAGAUAUUAGGAGGAACACCAGUGGCGAAGGCGGCCUGCUGGACGGUGACUGACGCUGAGGCUCGAAAGCGUGGGGAGCAAACAGGAUUAGAUACCCGGGUAGUC